UUACGUACCUUUAGGUGGGUAUGUAUCAGAAGUUGUACAUUUAUAGGCAGGAAGGGAAAGCAAAAACCAGGUAGCCUGUGCACUAGUGGAACUGUCGGGUACAAGGGACGACAUCAUGAAGUAGGGCAUAUAUUUUCUUAAGCACUCUAUGACAAAGAAGGAUACGACCACCAAGACUGAUCAACGCCUAUGACUGAAUCUAAUGUUUUGACUGCAUCCUCUUCUAUUUACAACCAACGCUCAUCCAAUAAUGCAGCCACUAUUCACGAAAGGAUGUCGACCCACGCGUCGCAAUCAAAAGUUCAAGUUCUUAUGGAACGAGCCACUCCGAGAAGUGUCUGUCCAAGUUGAUGGAAAUGUGAUAAGUGUUCAGUGACAACAUCUUGACCUGAGUUAUCGAGAUACUAUCGAGAACUGAGAUUUCCAAAGAAUACUUUCAAGUAGUCAACAAAAAAAAAAAAAUAUAUUCCGAAAGUGCAUAAAAAGUCGGAGCACGAGUGAAACAAAUAUGAGAGGCAAAACAAAAGUAGAACCAACAGCAUCGGACGACGCUGUGGGUGCAGGGAUUAAGCACAACCUCCUGGAGGUUCAGUCCCUGGAUGCCGAGGACAGCGGAUUAAGAAGCACAUCGGAGGCACAGGCUGACCCAGCC
rnacentral:sRNA from 1 species